AUUGAACGCUGGCGGCAUGCUUUACACAUGCAAGUCGAACGGUAACAGGCCGCAAGGUGCUGACGAGUGGCGAACGGGUGAGUAAUGCAUCGGAACGUGCCCAGUCGUGGGGGAUAACGCAGCGAAAGCUGCGCUAAUACCGCAUACGAUCUAUGGAUGAAAGCGGGGGACCGUAAGGCCUCGCGCGAUUGGAGCGGCCGAUGUCAGAUUAGGUAGUUGGUGGGGUAAAGGCUCACCAAGCCAACGAUCUGUAGCUGGUCUGAGAGGACGACCAGCCACACUGGGACUGGGACAGGGCCCAGACUCCUACGGGAGGCAGCAGUGGGGAAUUUUGGACAAUGGGCGCAAGCCUGAUCCAGCAAUGCCGCGUGCAGGAAGAAGGCCUUCGGGUUGUAAACUGCUUUUGUACGGAACGAAACGGUCUGGGUUAAUACCCUGGGCUAAUGACGGUACCGUAAGAAUAAGCACCGGCUAACUACGUGCCAGCCGCCGCAGUAACAC
rnacentral:rRNA from 1 species